GCGUAGGCGGUACUGUUAGCGAGCCUGCGGUGCGCAGCCCUCCCGCUGCCGCCGCCCCGGGCAGCCCGCGCCGGGCAGUCGCGACCGAGCGGCGAGUCGCAAUUGGCGUCUGUGGCUUAGGCGAGAGCAGAGCGUAUCGCGUGUGCAGUGCAUCAGAAGAGAAUUUUAAAUAGAGUCAGCCAUUCAGAAGUUCCAUCAGGAAUCCUACUACAUACAAAUGAAGAACUAACCUCCAUUAUAUUCUUCAUGUGUUGUGUUUUUAUUUCAGACUUUGACUAAGCCAAAGGUACAGAAGCAUCAGGAAAAAUUUUAAAUAAAAAGCAAGACCAG
rnacentral:lncRNA from 1 species